CCUACGGGAGACAGCAGUGGGGAAUAUUGGGCAAUGGGCGCAAGCCUGACCCAGCAACGCCGCGUGAAGGAAGAAGGCUUUCGGGUUGUAAACUUCUUUUAAGAGGGAAGAGCAGCAGACGGUACCUCUUGAAUCAGCCACGGCUAACUACGUGCCAGCAGCCGCGGUAAUACGGAGGAUCCGAGCGUUAUCCGGAUUUAUUGGGUUUAAAGGGUGCGUAGGCGGUCAGGUAAGUUAGAGGUGAAAGCUCGAUGCUCAACAUCGAAACUGCCUCUGAUACUGUCUGACUAGAGUGUAGUUGCGGAAGGCGGAAUGUGUGGUGUAGCGGUGAAAUGCUUAGAUAUCACACAGAACACCGAUUGCGAAGGCAGCAUGCCAAGCUAUGACUGACGCUGAGGCACGAAAGCGUGGGGAGCGAACAGGAUUAGAUACCCUUGUAGUC
rnacentral:rRNA from 1 species